rnacentral:RNase_P_RNA from 1 species
GAAGCUGGCUAGGCAGUCGCUGCGUGGGCAACCACGGAGAGGAAAGUCCGGGCUCCGUAGAGCAGGAUGCCGGUUAAUGGCCGGAGGUCGUGAGACCAUGGAAAGUGCCACAGAAAAUAUACCGCCGAUGGCCGCGUAAGCGGAUCAGGUAAGGUUGAAAUGGUGAGGUAAGAGCUCACCGCGCUUCCGGUAACGGGAGUGGCAGGGUAAACCCCAUCCGGAGCAAGACCAAAUAGGGGAACAUUAGGCGUGGCUCGCGCUGUUCCCGGGUAGGUUGCUUGAGCGUACGGGUAACCGUGCGCCUAGAGGAAUGACUGUCCACGACAAAACCCGGCUUAUCGGCCAGCUUCUUUU